rnacentral:rRNA from 1 species
UACAGAGGGUGCAAGCGUUGUUCGGAAUUAUUGGGCGUAAAGGGCGCGUAGGCGGUGCGGUAAGUUUCUCGUGAAAUCUCCGGGCUCAACUCGGAGCUUGCGGGAAAGACUGCCGUGCUUGAGUAUGGGAGAGGUGAGUGGAAUUCCUGGUGUAGCGGUGAAAUGCGUAGAUAUCAGGAGGAACACCUGUGGCGAAAGCGGCUCACUGGACCAUCACUGACGCUGAGGCGCGAAAGCUAGGGGAG